UUGGGACCAUUUGGUAUCCUGGCUAUUGCAGACCAAACACUUUCUGAACUCACACCUGUGUUUUUCCGUCCUGUCAAUUCAACUGACGGCACUCUCAAGACUUAUUUCUGUGCUGACGAAACAAGAUCAUCAAAAGCUCUUGAUGUCUUUAAGCAAGUUUAUGGAAGCACUGUUCCUGUGCUGGAAGAUGAAAAACUAGGCAUGAGGGUUCUGGUCGAUCAUUCGAUUGUGGAAAGUUUCGCACAAGGAGGAAGAACAGUAAUCACAUCGCGGAUUUAUCCAACAGAAGCAAUCUAUGGAGCUGCAAGGCUGUUCUUAUUCAACAACGCAACUUCUGUGAACGUUAAAGCUACACUCAAGAUAUGGGAGUUGAAUUCUGCCUUUAUCCGUCCGUUUCCAUUUGUUGACAGCAAUUAAAACACUUUUGUUUUGUCAAAUUCGUCCUAUUUGACGUUCCAUUUGAUUGCCAAUGCCCAGAGAUUGCAAAUCCUUGGCCAACCUAUGAUGUAUUAUUUCUUUUUUUUUUUUUGGUAAAAAAAUUGUAGGGGG
rnacentral:misc_RNA from 1 species